UACGAAGGGGGCUAGCGUUGCUCGGAAUCACUGGGCGUAAAGCGCACGUAGGCGGCAUCUUAAGUCAGGGGUGAAAUCCUGGAGCUCAACUCCAGAACUGCCUUUGAUACUGAGGUGCUUGAGUCCGGAAGAGGUGAGUGGAACUCCUAGUGUAGAGGUGGAAUUCGUAGAUAUUAGGAAGAACACCAGUGGCGAAGGCGGCUCACUGGUCCGGUACUGACGCUGAGGUGCGAAAGCGUGGGGAGCAAACAGG
rnacentral:rRNA from 1 species